AUUGAACGCUGGCGGCAGGCCUAACACAUGCAAGUCGAACGAGUGGCGGACGGGUGAGUAAUGUCUGGGCAACUGCCUGAUGGAGGGGGAUAACUACUGGAAACGGUAGCUAAUACCGCAUACCAUCAGAUGUGCCCAGAUGGGAUUAGCAUGUUGGUGGGGUAACGGCUCACCAAGGCGACGAUCCCUGGCUGGUCUGAGAGGAUGACCAGCCACACUGGAACUGCGACACGGUCCAGACUCCUACGGGAGGCAGCAGGAGGGAAUAUUGCACAAUGGGCGCAAGCCUGAUGCAGCCAUGCCGCGUGAAUGAAGAAGGCCUUCGGGUUGUAAAGUACUUUCGGUAGGGAGGCGUUACCCGCAGAAGAAGCACCGGCUAACUCCGUGCCAGCCGCCGCGGUAAUUC
rnacentral:rRNA from 1 species